ensembl:miRNA microRNA 299a
AAGGAAUGGUUUACCGUCCCACAUACAUUUUUGAGUAUGUACGUGGGAUGGUAAACCGUUUCUU